AAAAAAAAGUAAAAAUAAAAAAAGACUAGACGAUGAUAAUGAAGAUUGUGAUGAUGUCUUUCGGGUAUCCAGAGGGACGUCUCCACAACCCCAAACAUGCCUUUUUCUUAACCUUAGUGAUGAAAGAAAAACGAUAGAUGGAUAUUCGUUCAAUUUAUUCUACAAAAGAGAAGAUUGACGACUACAGUAUGAGACAAUACUUUACAACACACUAUUUGUACCAGUAACGAAGGUGUAAACACUUGCACCGCACCGCCCAACCAACCAACCAAGCCGCCACGCCUACCACAAUAAAUUAAUAGAAAGACGUUUGUUUCGCCGCGAGCCUAAUGGAAAACACAGCAUGAGGCUUAAUUUUGGGGGUAUAAUUUUUAGUCAGUGUUUCAUGCCAAUAAUAAAAAUCUGACUUACGUUUCUUAUCAAUUAAAAUAGAUCAUAAAUAAAUACAUGCCAAUAAUAAUGAUAAUAACAAUAGGUAAUAAGAAUAAGAAUCACAGACAAAGGUUUACGAAGAAGAAUUUUCCCAUUGAGCCUUUCUGUUAUUAUUGCUUUCUUUUUCUUUCCCAGUUGCUGAAGUCCAACGCUUUUAGUGGUGGCUAAGUAUACACACACACACACACACACACACACACACACACACACACACACACACACACACACACACACACACACACACACACACACACACA